rnacentral:rRNA from 1 species
AACGAACGCUGGCGGCGUGCUUAACACAUGCAAGUCGAACGCGAAAGGGACUUCGGUCCUGAGUAAAGUGGCGCACGGGUGAGUAACGCGUAGAUAACCUGUCUUCAUGUCUGGAAUAAUACGCCGAAAGGGGUACUAAUACCGGAUAUUCUUGCUUUUCAUAAGUUAUGCAAGCAAAGGUGGCCUCUGCAUAUGCUACUGCAUGAAGAGGGGUCUGCGUACCAUUAGCUAGUAGGUGGGGUAAUGGCCUACCUAGGCGACGAUGGUUAGCGGGUCUGAGAGGAUGAUCCGCCACACUGGCACUGGAACACGGGCCAGACUCCUACGGGAGGCAGCAAUGAGGAAUAUUGCGCAAUGGGGGAAACCCUGACGCAGCGACGCCGCGUGAGUGAGGAAGGCCUUCGGGUCGUAAAGCUCUGUCAAGAGGAAAGAAGUGUACAAUGGCUAAUACCUGUUGUAUUUGACGGUACCUCUAAAGGAAGCACCGGCUAACUCCGUGCCAGCAGCUGC